ACGUGCUACGCGUGAGUUGACCGCCUGGGGAGUACGGUCGCAAGAUUAAAACUCAAAGGAAUUGACGGGGACCCGCACAAGCGGUGGAUGAUGUGGAUUAAUUCGAUGCAACGCGAAAAACCUUACCUACCCUUGACAUGGUCGGAAUCCUNGAGAGAUCUGGGAGUGCUCGAAAGAGAACCGAUACACAGGUGCUGCAUGGCUGUCGUCAGCUCGUGUCGUGAGAUGUUGGGUUAAGUCCCGCAACGAGCGCAACCCUUGUCCUUAGUUGCUACGCAAGAGCACUCUAGGGAGACUGCCGGUGACAAACCGGAGGAAGGUGGGGAUGACGUCAAGUCCUCAUGGCCCUUAUGGGUAGGGCUUCACACGUCAUACAAUGGUCGGAACAGAGGGUCGCCAACCCGCGAGGGGGAGCUAAUCCCAGAAAACCGAUCGUAGUCCGGAUUGCACUCUGCAACUCGAGUGCAUGAAGCUGGAAUCGCUAGUAAUCGCA
rnacentral:rRNA from 1 species